CAUUUGAAGCUGAAUAAGGGAUGACUGCACAUCGAUUUCAUCAAAGCCAUUGAGCUCCAAGGAUUCCUUGUAGGUCAUCCCUCGGUAGGUUGGUGGGUGAGAGUCAUUGAUGAACCCUGGUGCUGGGGCUACAAGUGUGUCCAAUGAAGGUCCAUGAAGUGUUGCCAUUGAGAUUCUUUUCACUUCGUUGUUAUCCAAGAUCACUUGAUGUAUAUGACUCUUGUACUUCCCAUUGGUUAAUAUCUAAUUACAAACAAGAAUAUAACGUAAACUAUUAGUACAUCUUGCAUGGAGCAAAUGAUAAUGAUAGAAAGAGAUACCUCAAGAUGAUCCCCAAUACCGAUGAAAAUGGUGUUUCGGGGUAUGUUAACAGUGAUCCAAUUUCCUUGAUGAGAGAGCACUUGAAGUCCCCCGUUAACAUCUUGUAUAAGGGAAACAAAAAAGCCCGGGUCCGUAUGUUCCGCCAAACCGGUAGAACCUUUGGAUUGUAAAGAUGGUGGAUAUAGAUUCAAGGUAGCCACGUCGAAUCCUGCCUCCAGCUUGAAUUCCUUCUCGAUGUAGGUUUCUUCAUAUCCCAAAGUUGUCGAGAUUGCUUUAGCUAAACCAAGUUCAACCUCAUGCAUCCCUUUCAAGUAUUCUCCAAUGGCAUCUCUGUCAAAUAUGGAUGAAAAUCCACCAUUUUAAGAUAUAUAUAACAAAACCUUAAACAGUAUUAUAACAUAUGAGAAGAAUGAUAGGAAUAAUGAAUACUUGCAACUAUCAGGUUUGCUAGGGCAAUGAUAUUCAGGGUGUGUUACUAUCUUUAUAUUCUCUCUGUUUUCCCCAGCAUCAGAUCUUAAAUACCACCUUAUCCUAUCCAUUGAAUUCUUCUUUAAGUACUCACUCCUCUCCUCCUGAUUUGUCAGCUCAAAGUAAUCUGAAAUACCCUUCAGUGCUCCUUCUACCACCCUUUCUUCAACACCAUUUAUCAGCUUCAAAAAGACAAAAAAAAAAAACCCUAAAUUAUUUGGAAAAAGGCUACCAUAUAUGUAAAUGUAAAUAAAAUGCAAACAAUAACUAAUAUAAUUAAGAAACAAUGUUAGGUUUUCAAGAGUUUAAGAUUUUGAUAACCAUAACCAGUUGAUGUGUAUAUGUGUGUGUAUUGGAAGUUCGUACAUAAAAGCAACCGAAAUCUUGGCAUGCUUUUCCAAGGUGUUCCAAGGACUUAGCCCGUUCAUUAUGAUCCUUGGAAAACAACAAAGAGUAAUCAAUUGUGGGGAUUUCAUCCAUGAAGGAAUAAUCAUGGAGAUGAGCAAUAGCCUUGUUUUUCAAAUCAAAGCAUUCUUGACCAAGCAUCUCAACCGAGUGAGCCAUAGGGGAAGAGAAACUAUGAUGACAAGUUAAAGAGCAGAAAUAAAUAUAUUGAAGAGCUUCGUUAAAACGGGGAAGGUUGGAUUUGCAUGGGAUGCAGUUUUGCUCCUUUUAUAGAUCGACUCCGGGAUCUAUUUGUUUAUUUUAAUGUUAAAAGUUAUAGUCAUGAAAAUGAAUAGUAGUUCUUUUCUCUUAAUCAUUUUCAAAAUUAAAUAAUUAAUAGUUUCAUUAUAGGUUCUGAUAAUAUCUAUUCUUUUCGAUAAGAAUAGUUCCUCCCCAACCCAUAAAUAGGAGGAUAAUACGUUUCAGCGCACUCGAACCUACAUCCUCCUACAUUAAUAACAAUACCCAUACUAAUAAAACUAAGACUCAAUCAACAACCUCAUCAAAAUUAACUUUAAGCAAAACGAGGAUACAAACAUCUACCAAAAUUAAUAACAAUCAAAUAAAAUCUUAAAAAUCAAAAGAUUAUAAAAAUUGAUGUGAUUAUGAAUAAUAAUUACAAGAUGAACUUUUCUAUCCAUAAUCACAUGUGAAAUAAUUUUACAUUUCCACCAUUCUUCAUCUCAUUCCUUUCUCUUUUAAUCAGUCAUUCCUAAAAAAAAUUGUUUUUAAAUUAAUGUCUAACAACUCCAAAUUCUAUCCAUUUUUGUGAUACCCCUUUUUCCUUGUUUUAAAACUUUCAAUUAUAAAAAUUAUUUAUGCUGCCACAACCAAGUUAUGGUCAUGCGCAUUAGGAGAGUUUUUUACAAAAAUAUUAUAAAAAAUAAAAAAUAUCAAAAUAAUAUUAAUUUUUUUAUUUAUCAAAAUAAUACAAAAAAAACAUGACAGCCUGGUGGAGGGCCUGCCACAGGCGAUACCAAACUGGUGGAGGGCCUGCCACAGGCGGCACAGGAUUGAAAUAUAAUGAUCUAAAGUUUUAAGGACCUGAUAUGAAAAUUUACCAUUUUUAGCCAAGAAAGUGAAAUUGUGCCAUCUGACAGUGUGGUAGCACUAAACUUGAAAAGUGGCUAAUUGUCUUCUUAGCCCUCCUUAUUUAUUAUUUUCUUUUUAUUCCCUUCAACUCACUUUUUUAUUUAAUAAACAAGCCAUCAACCUAUUUUUGUAGUUAAAUAAGCUUUUAAUCUUUGAUUUAGCCCUUUAUUUUAUUAUUAAAGUAAAUAUAUUUCACCUAAAGUAAAACUAUUUAAAAAAGUAUAAACUAAUUCUCAUUUUAUGUUUAUGUGAAUUUGAUGAGAAUAGUUUAUAAUUAUAAUUUAUUUUUUCUAUUUGGGUUACAUUUAUGGGUGAUCAGUUUUAUUAUUACUUUUGAUUUUUCAAUAAAACAUGUCUGGUAUUUCUAUUAAUUUUUUAAUUAAAUCUAAUAUUAAUUAAGUGAUAAUUAAGAUACUUAGAAUUCUAAUUAAGUAAUAACUCUACUUUACUUUAAUAAAAGUAGCAACGUCAAAUUUUUUAACUAAUAACAAUAAAUUAUAAUUAUAAUUAUCACAAUUUUUUUUGUCUUUUUCCUAUAUUUUAUGCUUAGAGUUCUAUUUAAAUAACAAUUCUAUUUUAAAAUUAGCACAAUAUUUUUAAUAAUAAUUGUAGUUUAAAUUAUAAUUAUUUUGAAAUAUAUAAUUCUCACAACUUCUAUUAAAUUAUAAUUAUUUUUAAAUUUAUAAAGAGUAUUUAUAUAAAAAAAUAUUUUUAUUUAAUUAAAAAACUUGAAUUCUUAUUAUUUUAAAUUCAUCCAAUUAUAUUCAAUGAUUUUAUAGAUUUAUAGUUUUAUUAAUUAAUAAUAUAUUAUGUUUUUUUUAAGUAGAGCCUUUAUAAUAUAUGACCAAAUUAAUUAAUUUCACAUUAAUAUAUUAUUAUUUUAAUUAAUAUUACUUUUUAUUAUUAUAUAAUAAUAUUAAUAAAUUAUUAUUCUAAUGUAGUUUAGUAAUAUAAUUAACAAUAAAUGAUAUUUUUAUCAGUUUAAAAGUUUUUUCAAGACUCGUGCUUUUAUAUAUAUUAUAGAUAGAUAUUUUUAUGAUUUUUAUUGGAGAUAUGAAAGAUUAAAUCACAGGUUGUCAUAUUUCGUCAUUUAAUUGGUCCGUCAAUUGAUUUUAAUGGUUAAUGUAACGAAAUGUGAAAAUUAUUAAUGUAAGAGCUUAAUUAAUUUUUCAGGUUAAUGAUAAGGGCUCAACUGGGUUCAAAUUAAGUCAAGGGGCUUAGUAACUUUUUUUGGUUUUUUCUUAAGGGACUAUUAUAGCUAUAAGCCUUUGAUAAACAUAAAUUUUUUUAUAUAAUAAACUAUUCUCAUCAAAUUCACAUAAACAUAAAAUGCGAAUUAGUUUAUACUUUUUAAAAUAGCUUUACUUUAGGUAAAAUAUAUUUACUUUAAUAAUAAAAUAAAGGGUUUUUAUGAGUAAAAAUCAUAGAUUAAGAGCUUAUUUAACUACAAAAAUAGGUUGAGGGCUUGUUUAUUAAAUAAAAAAGUGAGUUGAAGGGGAAUAAAAAGAAAAUAAUAAAUAAGGAGGGCUAAGAAGGCAAUUAGCCACUUUUCAAGUUUAAGUGCCGCCACACUGUCAGGCGGCACCAUUUCACUUUCUUGGCUAAAAAUGGUAAAUUUGUAUAUCAGGUCCUUGAAACUUUAGAUCAUUACAUUUUAGUCCUAUGUCGCCUGUGGCAGGCCCUCCACCAGUUUGGUGCCGCCUGUGGCAGGCCCUCCACCAGGCUGUCAUGUUUUUUUUGUAGUAUUUUGGUAAAUAAAAAAAUUAAUAUUAUUUUGGUAUUUUUUAUUUUUUUGUAAUAUUUUUGUAAAAAACCCGCAUUAGGUUCUCAUGAUUAACGUCUUGGUGGACUACACUGUUUUUAGUGUCUUAAUGGACUUUACAUGUUGCUAUAGUCAAGUUAUUGUAUUACACAAUAUAUCCUAUUUUUAAUGUCCCGACGGACUCCAUUGGUUGUUAUAGCCUAACUAUGGUAUUACAACUCGUGAUCCCUGUGUUUAUUGUCCCGGCAGACUAUCUAUGAUGUCAUAACGUCUUUCAGCUAUGGUCUUACACAAUAUAACCUCAUGUUCACUGUCCCAGUGGACUAUCAAAGGAUGUCAUAACGUCUUUUAGUUAUGGUCUUAGUCUUAUUUACUAUUGUGGCGUGCUUUCAUAUGAUGUCAUAGCAUCUUCCAGCUAUGAUCUUACUCAUUUUAUCAUGAUGUCAUAACAUCUUUUAGCUAUGGUCUUACUCAUUUUUAUCAUGAUGCCAUAACAUCUUUCAACUAUGGUCUUACUCAUUUUUAUCAUAAUGUCAUAACAUCUUUUAGCUAUGGACUUACUCAUUUUAGGCAUAUAGCCUACGAUUGGACUCAUGCUUAGCCAUGGUCUUUUUAAUUACUUUUCUCAUUGCAUUCCAUCAUUCCUCCAUUCGCUAUCCUAACCUUAAUGUUCAAACACUGUAGUGUCUCCUUCGUAAGGCCUAGAGCUUCACUCAUCAUAAGUGCACUCAGCAACACCGUAUAGCGGUAUCUAACAAGAUCACCCCUUAUUCUCAUUCCUAACUUCGACUAACCCUUCAACAUUCCCGCCAUUCGCACAUUAUUCACACACAAGCAUGACAUAUAAUGAUGUAAACAUAGUAACAUGGAACACACUAACUGGCACAUGUAUCACUACGAUUUUGAGGUUGAAAAUAAAAAUUAUCUUUUUUUUGUAAUUUUAUAUAAAAUUUUGCAUUUUUCUAUAUUUUUAUAAUAAUAUUUAUAUUUUAAAAUUUUUAUUUUUUAAUUCAUAUAACUUUUAAUUAUUUUAAUUUCAUAAUUUAUAUAAUUAUUUUAGUCAUUUAUAAUAAUUUUUAUAAUUUUUAAAUAAUUAUAAUAUUUUUUUUAUAAUUUUUUGCACAUUUAUACUUUUUUUUAAUCUUUAAUAUUUUUAAUAUUUUUUUAUAAAUUUUAAUAUUUUUUAAUAAUUUGAAGUAUAAAACCUCAAAAUUUGCCAUAUAGCACAAUCCCGAGUAGUUACAUGGCGAAACAACCCCGAAAAUAAUCGUGGCGUGUUUUCCACUUUUAACAUUCAGGGCACGUUUGGUUCGCUGUAAUGGAAUAGAGCUGUAAUGGAAUAGAGACAUAAUAGUAAUUCAAUUGUUUGGUUGAAUGGAACGGAAUAGAACUGUAAUAGUAUUCUUGUGUUUGGUUGAAUGGAAUGAUAUUGUAAUAGCAUAAGGAAAAAAACUAAAAUGACUAGAAUACCCUUAGCAGAAUUUUCUUUAGGUAGAUGAUUAUUGUUAUUGUUAUUAAAUUUUAAUAAGAUUAUUAAUAUAAAUAAUAUAUAAUUUAAUCAUAUUUUAACAUAAUAAUUAUUAAAUAUAAUUUAAUAAAAUUCUUAAUAUUAAAUAUUCUUAUAUGAAUUUACUAAAAUCAUAAUAUAUAAUACUAUAAAAUAUAAUUUAAAAUAAUUAUUAUUAAAUAUAAUUUAAUAAAAAAUAUAUAAUUUAAUAAAAUUCUUAAUAAAAUUAUUCUUAUAUGAAUUUACUAAAAUCAUAAUAUAUAAUACUAUAAAAAUAAUAUAUAAUCUACUUUAUUAUUUUUAAACCGCAAUACAUAUUUAAUGUGCUAAAAUAUCAUUAGUGAAACAAAUAAUUUAAUUAUUCUAAAUAAAAAAUAAAAAUAUUAGAAGUAAUAAAUAACUUGAGAAUUAUAUUUUACAUCCAAACAUAAUAUUCAUAUAUUAACAAAAAGUUACAUAAUUUCAUUAAUUUAAAUGUCAUAAUCCAUAUGUUAUAAAAUUUUACAACAUGAAAAAGUUACAAUAUUGUAAUCACAUUCUAUCAUCUCAUUAAACCAUCCAAAUAUUACAAACACAAAAAAUUACCAAAAUAUUAUCAACGUUGAAACUUGAGGAGCUUUUCAUGCAAUUAUUUCCAACGAGCAAUAAAAUAAGACAAAUCAAACCAUCUGCUUGCAAGUACUCAUCGAAUUUCUGGAAAGCUCAAUCUGGGAAUGCUGCGCUACCACUAAAAACACAAAAAACCCUCCAAUGCAAUAGCGGAACUGGGGGAAGUCACAAGGUUUGAUUUCCUAGAAUGUCAGACAAAUAGCAAACUUCCAUUUGAGUAACCUCCAAACCCCAACUUGUGAAGAAAAUCAACACUCGUAAAUGCCAUGAAAGAUUUCAUAAUAGAUGUCAAUUUACAUCCGAAUAACCAGAUAAAAACAACCAAGUCCCUUUCAAAAGUCCUCCCAAUCCGAUAUUAUUCCUGCUUCACUUCUAGCUAGAGAAUUUCAAAAUGGCACUAGAGGCAGCAAACUGUUAUCUUUGCCAAAAAGUAUGCGUUUCAAGUCAUGUAUUACUGUGACCAUCAAUCCAAGGUUCUCAAACAUAGCUAAAACCCAGUCACAAAAUAGGCAAUUAAGUGGCAUCCUAGAAAUGAUUGGAAGAAUGAAGAAUCAAUGCUAGACUCGGAAAAAAUGGCUCAUUCGAUUAAACCAUAGCCUCUGACAGGUUAAAACUAGUUGUGAAAAUUGAUGGAUAAGCAACCUCCAAAUGACUAAAGUUGUUAGUCAAAGAAUCUUAAGUGGCUUGUUCGCUACCAUUACUUUCCUAUGUUGUUCCUUCACCUUAUCCGCUGUCGCGUUCUCCUUGUUAAAUCAUAUGGUGUAGAAAAGAAACAUCAUCACAAAUAUGGAAAUCUGUAAAAACAUUAAAGAAAUGCAUGCCAUAAACUAAAAGUUUCCUCAACUCUUUCAUUUUUUGUGAAGUAUCUGUGUCCAAUGCGUAUUUAGAUAUGAAGAUAUGACCCCCAAAAUACAUGAAAAACUUCAAUAUAGAUACGCACACAUACCUAUCCAGACACAUUCUCAUAUUCAAUUCAAGCAACAUUAGAAAGAAAUCUAGAGUCAUAGAAUAAACAAGAAACUAAAGUUUCAUACCAUGAAAUCAAUAAAUUGAUAAGAACACUAUUAACUCUCAAGUACUUAAAAACAUAAGCUAAGGCUGAAGCUUCCCUUGGCUCUUUCUCUACCAUGGAAAUCACAUCAACUGCCAAAUCCCAACAUCUCUAUGAGUUUAUCAACAGACAUACUUUAAACUACACCAUAAACAAAAGGGGCUUUUGCCUGAACUCAGAGGAGUCUAUCAGCAUCAGAUUUAUUCAAAACAAAUUGUAACUGGACUCGGAGGUGAGCAUCUAAAACAAGUAUGUUUCGACACAGAUAAGCUCAAUUAUUCCAUACAUUUGUCAAGAUAUUUUUUGGACACAGAAUAUUAAAAUAAUAAUAACUCAGGUAACAUAGUUCGGCUUAUACUUGGAACUAAAAAGAAAGUCCACAACACCAUAACAACUUCUCCCCCCCCCCCCAAAAUAAUCUUUUUUCUUUUAGAAAUAUUCAGCUGAAACAAAGUCUUUAUUCAUGUUAUGAAACUGAAUGGCAUCCAUAGUAAAAUAAUUCCUAAAAAAAGGUGAACUUUCAUACUCCAAAUUAAGCAUUUAAUUAGAUUCAAACAAAAACAUUUUUAAAAAAAUGGCAAAACAGAGAAAAAUGGGAAAAUGAAAUAAUUAUAAUAAAAAGGAUCUAGAAAUUUACCAUUUUUCUUAGCAGGAUUUGGGAUACAACCUUAGAAAUCCAAAUAUGAAAAUGUUGAAGCGGCUUCUGGCUUUCGUAUUUUAGGUUCUGUCAGUGAAACGAAAAUAUUCACCUCACCUUGGAUGAAGGGGAGGAAUGCCGGAGUCGGAGGAAGCAAGAAAUGGCUGUCGUUGAGUGUUUUUGAGGUAAGAAUUUGUGAGGGUAAAAUAGGGUUGAUUUGGGACGGAAUGGGUAAACGGUGAAGAGGGAAGGGAAUAGAAAUCCCCAAAUUUUUCUGCUUAAGGCCGGAAUGGAAUACACACGUAAUAGGUAUUCCCUUCAACCAAACAUCUGCUUAAGUGGGAAGCAGAAUAAGCUUGUAAUAGGCAAGUAAUGGCAUAGCCAUUACCUUCAACCAAACAUGCUGUCAGUAUUUCUUCUUAGUUCUUCAACGAGGCUCUCUUUCCGAUGUCAAAAGUAAGGAUUUUAUUUGAUUAUACUCCUAACGAGAAAGGAUCUAUUUCUCACGUAUUUUCUACCUCCCCCUUUUUCAUUUUUCCUUCCUCCUCCUUUUCAUAUAUUUUCAUGUUUUUGUUUUGAAUAAAUUAUUUGGGUAAUCACUAGUGUAUAAAUGAGACAUAGGUACUUAUAAGUUAUUCGAGUUUGAACUUAAAAAAAUUCAAACUUAAUUAGAUAAUUUUUGAGUUGAACUCGAACAGUUCGACCUAUCAAUCAAAUUGAAUUCAAACUCAGUAAUAUUUUACUCGAACAGUUGGCGAGCCUUUUUGAGCUUUUCAUAUAUUAGUGUUAUUAAAUUAUACCAUUACUCUUAAUAUAUAUUAUUAACCUUAAGCUUCAUUAUUUAGUCGAGUUCGAGCUUGAGUAACAAAUUGAUAAAUGAGCUUAAAUGAGCUCAAGUGGCUCGAUUAUAUCUCAAGCCGAGCCUGAGUCACGUAUUGAGCUCUAAAUUACGAGUUGAGCUCGAGCUUAGAAGUAUUUGAGCUCGACUUGGCUCAAUUACACCUCUAAUAGUCACUCAACUUUUGAGUAGGUUUUAUUUUGAUAACCCAACUUCAAAAACUUUUAAUUUCAUCACAAAGGUUUUCAAAUUUUAAAAUUUUAAUCACCCACCGUUAAGGGAAAAUUAUUCCUACAUCUAAAAAAUCUAACAUUUUUUCACUUAAUGCUUAUAUUAAUAUUAAUAUUUAUAUUAAUUAAAAAUAAUUAUAUUAAUAUUAAAAAAUAUAUAUUUUCCUCCCUCCCCUCACCCUGAUCAUUCCGUCUCCUCUCCCUCCCUCUCUCUCUUCAAUCACUGGCUUUCUCCCUUACAAAUUUAUUUAUUUUUUAAAAAUUAUUUAUUUUUUAAAUAUAGGAUCAAAUUGAUAAAAUGUGUAAAUAUUGGGGGAUAAAUUUAUUAUUAGGCCAAUAAAAAAGUCCGGCAUGAGCUUUCCGUUAAGUAUUUGACGAUGGGUGACUAAAAUUUUAAAAUUUAAAAACGUUGGUGGUGAAAUUAAAAGUUUUUUUUGAAGUUGGGUAAUCAAAAUAGAAUAUACCAAAAAAUUAAGUGAACACCCAAGUAGUUUACCCUUUUCUUUUCCUUUUUUUAAUAAUAAUUCAUCUAUUGAUUAAUUUCUUUUUUGUCACAAUAAUAAGUUAGAAUUUAUCUUUUUUUAAUUCAUUUCCGUGGCCGUUAACUUUAUAUAUUUAAUCCACCUAAUAUUUGACUCGUUCCACGUAAUAUUAUUUCCUUUUUAAAAUUCUAAAACUCUAUUUUUCUUCUUCUUCUUCUUGCUUCGUUCCUUCUAGCCCGAUUUAACCCUAACUAAUGGGAUUAAACAAUUAGUAACAAUAUGUAAUUUCAAUCCAUGCCAUGAUCUGAGCUCAUCGAAGGACUCCUUUCAAUCCAAAAUUACCUUAAUUUUCCUCUUACACCUAGAUUUUAAUUUUAGUUUAAAUUUUUUUGUUAACUAGUGAAAUUAUCACUUUUUAGGAAGCGGAGAGUCACCGAAAGUAGAUGGUUUUCUGGUAAAAAUGUUUUGGGAGAAGAAAAGUCAUAAUGGUGUAACGAGUGUCAUGAAUCAUUGCAUGAGUUCUUUUAUAGUAAGAGAUCGAUGUGAUGUUUUAGGAUAAUUGGUAACUAGUGAUUUUAAGUUUUUACGCGGAUUUUAUUUGAUAAUAUGAACAUCCACUACACCAAAACAGGCUUUUAGCGGUAUUUUUUUAGGCCUUUAGUGGCACUUUUUAGCGCCGCUAAAAGUAUUUGAUAGCGCCGCAAAAAAUGCUGCUAUUAACAACGCCGCUAACUUUUGCAGCGUUUUUAAAAAUAAACGUCGCUAAAAGUCAUGACCUUUAGCGGCGCUUUUCCCUCAAACGUCGCUAUAAAUCAUGACUUUUAGCGAUGCUUUUCCCACAAACGCCACUAUAGAUCAUGACUUUUAGUGGCGCUUUUCCCACAAACGCCGCUAUAGAUCAUGACUUUUAGCGGUGCUUUUCCCACAAACGCCGCUAUAGAUCAUGACUUUUAGCGGCACUUUUCCCACAAACGCCGCUAUAGAUCAUGACUUUUAGCGGCGCUUUUCCCAAAAACGCCGCUAUAGAUCAUGACUUUUAGUGGCGCUUUUCCCAAAAAUGCCGCUAUAGAUCAUGACUUUUAACGGCGCUUCUCCCACAAACGCCGUUAUAGAUCAUGACUUUUAGCGGUACUUUUCCCACAAAUGCCGCUAAAGAAUACGACCUUUAGGCAUUUUUUAAAAAAGCCACUAAUUUUGUCAGAUUUGUAAAAUAAAAUUUUCCAUAUUUUCCGUCAUUCUAUAGCAAAAAAACCAACCAAAAGCAACAAAUCUAAAUAAUAUUUCAAAUUAAACGAAUGAUAUAUAAUAUAAAUAUCAAUAAAUGAAAUAUAAAUCAUAUUAUUCUUACAAUAAUGUUAAAAGUUAAAAUGAUAAAAAUAUUUAUACGAUAGUCUAAGAUAACGGAUGUUGCGACUGCUGAGAUAUCUUCAUCAUAUUCUGAGGCUGCUGUUGGAGUUCGUCGUCCUUUCUCCUCUGCUCUGUUGCUCUCGCUGUUGCCUCUGCUGCUCUCGCUGCUGCCUCUGCUUCCCUCGCUGCUGCAUCUACUUUAAGUUGUAGCUGGAGUUCUUCAUAUUUUCUUUGAACCUCAGCUUCUCUUGAUGCUGCCUCCGCUUUAAGUUGAGUAAUUUACUCAACUGUGGUCGCUUGCAUCUGAGCCAUCUGGUCUCUUAACCUCUGAACUUCAACUUGAGCCUAACUCCUCGAAAGCAUGUAUUGCUGCGAGCUGAAUCCAAAAUAUUGGGUUGGGUUAACAAAAGAUCCUUGAAACCGAACUUGAACAUACCUUUCAGGACCCAAAACUUCAGUAAUAAUCCUGUUAUCAAAGUCGUCAAGAUGAACAGAACUAUCACUUGAAACAAUCGCUUCGUACUCCGCCUUUUUAUCCUUUAGUUUCUCCUAAUAAAUAAACCAAAUAGUUAGGAACGUAAAAUAUAUUAUAAAAACAAAUGCAACAUAACUUAACAAUAUUUGCAUUACAAACAAUGAAUUAAACCAUUAGAAAAUAAACACUAUAAAUAUUUAAAACAAUUCAAAUUUUAUUAAGUAGACAUACCAUAAUUUCUGCAGCUUUAGGAGUCAUAGGAGAUCCAUCUUUCUUCCUAUGUGUAAUGUCAAAAAGCUGAAGGCGUCUAACUUUUUGACCGGACGACAGUUCCUACAAUAUAAUAGUAAAAAUAUUAUUUAAUGGAAAGUAAUAAAUAUUUGACACUAUUAAUAAAUUCAAAAUACCUCGGCCUCAGCUACACAAGCAAAACUUUUUGACCCAACAGUGUGAGUGAAUUUCUGUUUUUGUCUGCUGCUUUUUCCAACUCGUUUAUGAUCCUACGUUAUGAAAUUAUUAUUACGUAUAUAGUAAAUACUAUAAACCGAAAUAAUUAUAAGAGUUUGGAAGUACGUAAUACCUCUCCUUUCUUUGAAUUCCAAAAUCUAAUCACAUCUUCCUAUUGGUACCUCAGCAUUCCCGGCGAGACAUUUUGCAAUUUCUCUUUGAGGGUUGUUUUUGUUUUAAAAUAAUCUUUCUUUAAAGUACUUUUAUGGUCUCUCCAUCUUUUUCCUAAUGCCUUCUUUACAUAAGUAUCCGAGACCUCUAAAGCAAACCUCACCUACAAAAAAUACAAGUUAAGAAAGUAAAUAUAAAUAAAACUUAAACCCAAGUAUUAUAAAUGACAUUAACGUUUUGUUACCUUAAUAUUAUCGAGAGUUUGAUUUUUGUUACUAUCAGACAUUUGAUGCCAUGACUCGUAGUUGAUAGGCAACAUAUUUGCAUUUUGUGCUAUAAUGCCCAAAUAUCCUACUAAAAGUCGAGCUUCUGAUCCACCAGGCUGACCAAAACUGUUUCUACAUACUUUGACACGCUCGAUUGAAUCUAACUCGUAUAAAUCUUUAAGUAGCGUACGUCCUCGACCUCUGCGCGUCCCACUACUUUCAGCUGAAAAAUGGUAUAUUAUAAUAUAAGAAUUUGAAAAAGAAAUCAACAAUAAGUCAACACACAUGUAUAUUAAAUGUAAAACUAUUUUGAACUUUAUAGGUUCGUCAGGUGUAAUCGGAACAUUCGAAGAUCCAAUAGCAGUCUGUUGUUCACUAUUUGUUUCUUUCGAGUUUGGAGUAUUUCGAAAAAUGCUUAGAUCUCGCAAUUUUCUUCUAGGCAUUUUAUCUGCAAUACACAUAAAAUAGUUGAAAUUUUAGUAACUAAUUACAACAAUAACAACAUAUAUAAAAUAGUUGAAAUAUUUAAUAAGAGCAAGAUUUGAAUUAUGAUAUUACAUAUAAUUAAAAAAAAUCGUAAAAUCUUACUACAUCAUAAGUAGCGCGUAGAACUUUGCCGCCUCUCCAUUCGACUCUUCAUGAGGUACACUUCUUCCCGGUUAGGUAAAAGCAUUUCCAUCAAGAUUACAAUCAUCAGAUGCCACAAAGUCGGCUGGGAACGACUGCAAACCAUGAUUGUGCAUAUUAAAUGCAUCCCCCAACAUACCUUCCAUGUCAUUCCCUCUAACAAACUGAUGGUAAGCAGUACAAGGAUAAUAUACAUCCAUCAUUGAAGAGGAAGUACUAGGCGUGCAUUCUCCAUGAAAAAACUAUUUUUAUAACCCCGAACAAACCCAUCAACUAUUAGAUGCUCGUAUACAACUUCACGAUAAUGCCAGUUAAUGUUGACACACUUCUUACACGGGCAAAGAAUCAUGUUCUCUUGGCUUGCAUAUUGAAGUGCAAAAUCUAGAAAAGUUUGUACUCCAUUCCGAUAACCGUUGCUUACCCUUGACAAAUUCAUCUAAGACCGAUCCAUUUAUUAAUUCUUGAAGUCUGAUGUUGACAAUAAAUUACACGAAUAAGUUGUUCAUUCAUAAGUCUGAUGUAUUAUGAAAGUUAUGUAAGUUAUGUAUUAUGAAAGUUAUGUAAGUUAUGUAUUAUGUAAGUUACGUAAGUUAUGUAAGUUAUGUAUUAUUGAAAUAAUUUAAAUUAUGUAAGUUAUGUAUUAUGAAAGUUACGUAUUAUUUAAAUAAUAUCAUCACAAAUGUAAGUUAUGUAUUAUUUAAAUAAAUUAAAUUAUGUAAGUUAUGUAUUAUGAAAAUAAUGUAAGUUAUGUAUUAUUUAAAUAAUUUAAAUUAUGUAAGUUAUGUAUUAUUGAAAUAAUUUAAAUUAUGUAAGUUAUGUAUUAUGAAAGUUAUGUAUUAUUUAAAUAAUAUCAUCACAAAUGUAAGUUAUGUAAUAGUCCUAUAUAUCAUUCAUCUCAAAUGUUGAUUCAAUUGUAGUCAAUGAAUUAAUGGUUAACAAAUAUCAUCACACAAUAAUGAAUAUAUUAAUAAAUCAUUAUUUUAAUGGUAAUUUAGCAAUAUAAUGAACCAUAAUCAUUUCUUUUUAUUUACUUAUUCAAUCAUUUUAAUGUGUGCGAGAUCAAUUGAAAUCUCCUUAACAAUAGGGUCGCCAAUAUUGAGAUUAGUUACAUAUAUCAAAGAUUUUAUGUCUUCCAUUAAAGUAAAUAUGAUAUGGCAAGUGUAUUUAUCGUAUAACUUUACAAAAUAUGUCGUACGCUAAAUUUAGAGUAGCUCAAUUUUGUAAAAGCUUUCUCAUAAUUUUUCAGAAAAUAGGUUUAUUCCCACCAUUUUCAUUAAGCAUAAAAAAUUAAGUCCAUUCAAAAAUAGGUUUUCGUGAGCAAUAACACAUUAUGUUUCAAAAAUAUUAACUUAAUUUUAUAUUAAUAUUCAUAUAUUAUAAUUACAUUUAAAAAUGAACUAUUAUUAAAUUUGGAGUUUUUUGCUCUCGCAAAAGAAAGUAGAAAACAGAACAGCAAUUUGCAUUGGCUAAAAAUGCAUGAUAACGCAGCCAAUUAUGCAUUAAUGAAUUAAAAAAAUGUGAGAUGCCAACUUGUUCAAUUGGCUAAAACAGCAAUUUGCAUUGGCUAGAACUUGCAGAAAUUAAUUCAGAAAAUGUGAGAUAACAACUUGUUCAAUAAAUAAACAAAGUCCACUUGCUUAAAUCCUAUUAUGAUUUGCAAAAUACAUGUCCAAAGCUUAUACAUGCAACGGGUAUAUCAAUAGCUGGAAGAAAAAGAUGAUUAACUAAAAAAGCUUUUCUUUUCAAAAUUGGAAGGUUUCUGACAAGUACAAAGAUUCCAACACGGAACUUAACAUGCAAAACCCAAGAAAUCAAUCCACCACAAUGACAAUUCAUUCUGAAAAUUCCAAUCAUUCAAUCAAACUAAGGCUGAUACUUUACAACAAAAGAACAAAAAUUUACCUUCCAGGCCAGAGAAUAGGCAAGUUUUGCAGCGAUGAAAGUAGCUCCAACCCAGCAAGCUAAGCACAGCAAAGCGGCCAAAGACCCAGCUUUCUUAUCCAAAACUACAUAAAACAAUCAUAGGAAAAUAGAUAAAGCAGAUCCAUAAUUGAGAACCAAAGCAUGAUUAAAUAUCGGCCACACAAAUAAAGUACGUAUCAAAAUGUUAAUUGGGUUACUGUGAUAUGCCCCAUAAAACGCAAAAUGGUUCUCAAGAUCCAAUAAAAUUGCAUUGUAUCUCACAUAAAAAUGUAUAAUUUAAUCUCGAUCCUUUUUUUAAGAAAUUUAACUGCGUCCAAAAACAAUACUUAUCAAACUCUUAUACUAGGAAGUUAACAUGUUAGUAAGAAAAUACAUACAAAAGUGUCAUUAUCGAACAUGAUAAGCAAAACAUGUAAGCAAAACGUGUGUCUAAUACUCAUGCCAGUAAAUGAAAUUAGUUGGACCUGUCUGCCUACCAAUUUGUAAUGAAAGCUAGAAACAAGAACCAAAACUACCAAACCACGUACCAAAAAUGUACACCAAAUUAGGAACAUAUUUAACGAUUACAGUGAAAAUUAUAUGCUUUACACUUCGUAGAACAAUCUGCUUUCUUUUGGGUCUGUAAUGAAGAACUAUAGAGAACAAUCUGCUCUCUCUUAUGCAACAGCUCAGUAAAUAGUUCAUCGUUUCACUCCUAAUAUGAGUGUGAAAAGGCAGUGAAGCAAGGAAGGACAGUGCGAUAACAAGCGAUUGCUGAUCACUAAUCCACCGGAUUCAGUACCAAUCAAUGGUGGAUCCUCAACUUACCCCUAACUUGAAACUAUACAUAACAAUUUAAAACCACUGCAUUUCACGAAUCAAACGGGAAGAAAAUAACGAAAUUUUUAAUUAAUGAAAGCCCUAGAAGUCGGGUGGGCAAGAGAACAAACCUCUAAAAUGGCGAUUCCAAGGCUACCGAGUUCGGGAAAGUACUUGGGCUGCUGAUUUCGGGUGGAACUUAGGGAUUUCGGGGGGGAUUUUCUAAAAAUCUAAACGGGUGGGGAACUUAGGGCCGCUGGGGAAAUGAACGACGACCCUCUGCUGGGGAGAAAGGGGGAAAUGAAAAUCAGAAUAAGGGGGAAAACGAGGGAACGACGACGUUUUGCCUAAAAGAAAUAAACCUUUGCGGCGUUUUUCCAAAAAAGCCACUAAAAAACCUACAAAAACGGUCACGUUUUGGUUAACAGAAAAUAACAUUUUGCAACCUUGCGCCGCUAAAUCCCGACCUUUUGUGGCGUUUUACCAAAAAUGCCACUAAAAAAUCUUAUCGAACGGCAUUGUUUUAAUUGAAACAAAAUAACAUUUUGCGGCAUUUACUACCUAACGCCGCUAAAGCCGUAAAACGCCACUAACAAAUCCUAUAGAAUGACACCAUUUUUAUUGAGAAAAAAAAACAUUGUGCAGUGUUUUCAACAUAGCGCUGCUAUAGCCCCACCUUUUGCGGCGUUUUACCAAAAACGCCACUAACAUAUCCUAUAGAACGACACCGUUUUUAUUGAAACAAAAUUCCUUUAAAUUAAAUUUGUUUCUAUAUUUGAAAGGUUUAAUUAUUUCUUAAAUUCCUUUAAAUUAAAUUUGUUCUGUUCCAUGCCAUAUAUUUAAUUUGUCAAAUUUUAUAAUUGUGUAUGAAAAUAAUUUUUAAUAAUAUGAAAACUCGAGCUGGAUAUAUAUGUCUUCCUGAUGAAGAAUACAUAGUUUUUUUGUAUUAAAGAAGAAAAAGCUUAUGAUGUUACGAUAGAAUCGAACAAAUUAGAAGGAUCAAAAUAAUCCAAAAAAAGUUCAUAAUUGGUUAAUAGAAAGGAUAAUUCUAUUCUUUUGACUCUUAAUUUUACUUCAAGUAUUCGUGUCUGAAACUUGUUUCAAACAUGAGCACGAACAUAUGACAUUCUAAGAACCCUACAAGUAAGCGGGGUGAAAAAGGCUUGAUUAAAUAAUAGUAAUUAAUCUAAACCCUAAACCUAUAACCACUAAAUCCCUUAAACCCUAAACCCAAAAUCAUAAGCCCUAAACUCGACUUAAAUCGUAAACCUUAAACCCUAACCUCUAAACCUUAAACCCUAACCCUAUACCCUAAACUGUAAACCGUAAUCACUAAACCCAUAAUCCAUAAACCUUAAAUAGUAACUCAUAAACCUUAAACCUUAAACCAUAAACCAUAAACCAUAAACCAUGUAUAAUCCCUAAACCCUAAAUCUUAUACCCUAAACUCUAAACUGUAAUGAUAAUUAAUUCAAUAUUUUAAAAUUAAUACUAUCUCUUUUACGAUUAUAUAAGAAAUUAUUUAAUAUAUAAAUUAAAAAACAACAAGUCGUGUACCCAAUAAACUUUAAAAUUAUUUUAAAUAGUAGUCUCUUAAUUUUUUUUCCGUUUUUAAUAAAUAUUUUUCUAUAAUUUUACUUUCAAAAUUUUUUUACGUGUCAUUAUUUUUUACUGAAUAAUUUAAAUAUUAAAAUAAAAAUAAAUUGUAUUUUAAUUAAUAUAAAUAAAACAGUUAGUUUUUAAUUUAUUAGCUAAAAACGCCUCUAAUGCUCGACAUAUAGCGGCGUUUUUCCAAAAAGCGCCGCUAAUGCCAAUAAAGCUCAAGGAAAAACGACGGCGUUCUGCUUAAUUUUUUGCGACGUUUUCUAAAAAGCGCCGCUAAUUGUAGCACCCCUAACCCGUAUCCGUCGCCGAAUUAGGGUUACGAGGCAUUACCAAACAAACACAACCAUUUUUUUUAAAACCAAACUGAUCACAAACAUGGAAUUUAAAUCAUUUUCGCAUGGCUAUUUAUAUUUUAUGAUCCAAAACUAACCAAAAACAUACUCAAACCUAUACAUGCCAUAAGAUCGAGUUCAAAUUUUUAACAAAAUACCAAAAGAAGUCGAUAGUGUGAUAGACUAUGCUGAUGAUCCCCGAGCUCAUAACGCGUCUCCAAAAUCUAUAAAACGAAUGGACAAAAACAAUCAAAGUAAGCUUUUAUAGCUUAGUAAGUUUAUAGCAUAUCUAAAAUACAUAUAAAAGAACAUAUGUAUAAUCAUUAUAUGCUUAUAAUCAAGUUACAUACAUAAUCAUUAAUUGCAUAUACAAAUUCCAAAUAUACUUAUCAUUUGCAUUUCAUGAAUGCAUAUCUAUGAUCUUUCAAAUACAUAUGUCAAAAGCUUAUAUUUUUACUUAUCAACUACAUGAAUCAAAUGCACAUUUAUACUUCUAAUCCACAUGUGCCGAUUGCAUACAUGUAUAUUCAACAAUUUUCAUAUCAACCAAUAUAUGUUCCUAUUCACUAAACACAUAGACCCAAACAUUUAUAAGCUCAUCGAAUACAUAUAAAUAAAUAUUCAUAUACUUAUUCAUUAUAUAUAACCCAAAAUCAUUUAUAUAUUUAUAUAUAUCACAUGCAUAUAAUCACUUAAUUUAACAUAUUCACCGGCACUUAGCCUGCUAGGCUUAUAGCCUGAUUCAGAUCACCGGCACGUAGCCUGCUAGGUUUAUAACCUGAUUCAGAUCACCGACACUUAGCCUGCUAAGUUCAUAACCCGGUUCAGAUCACCGGCACUUAGCCUGCUAGACUUAAAGUCUGAAUUAAUUCACCGGCACUACAUCUGCUAGGCAUUGAGCCUAAAUACCAUGGAUAUGAAAUUGGUCUUUCACAAAAUUCUUUAUAAGAAAAUCUAGAUAUUCUUUAUAUCUCAUAUAAAUCUUUUCAAUAAUCGUAUCUCAGCAAGAAUCGAAUUAUUAUUCCAAUCUUCGUAGCAAACAUACAUUUGAAUAACAUCUCUAUAGUUCAUAUCAUUAAAUUCACCUCAUAGAACUCAAUACCUGCAUUCGAAUAUUAUAUAUAUUUUCUUUUAUAUUAUAUGUAACACUCCGACCCUUGUCCGUCGCCGAAUUAGAGUUACGAGGCAUUACCGAUCAAAAUCUGACCCAAAAUUAUUAUUAUUAGUAUUUUUUUAACUCAACCACAAAAUUCCAUUCCAUAUAUAUAUUAUCACAUAACCAAUUAAAAUCAAACAUGCACCUUUAAUCAAAUUUCAUAUACUAACCACGUUUCAACAAUUCAUCCAUAUCAUUAUCAUUUACCUAAUCAAAAUUUGAUAUCAUAAAUCAAACAUUUAUCCAAGCAUUUAUUUCAUUUCAAUUUACUAAUUAUACUACAUAUUACAAAAUUAAGUAAUCUACCUUGUUUGGACAGCUCUUAUACACAAAAAAAUUGGGCAGUAUAUACACAAUACAUCAUAUACAUAUAAUACACAUUAUUUUCGAAAUAGGCUUGAAUAUAACUAUUUUAUACAACUAUUAACAAAUAUACUAAACACAUCACACUUCCAUAUAAAUAACUGAAAUUUGCAUAAGCUUAAACAUUAUAUAUAUAUACCAAAUAGAUCAAAAAUAUAAAACCAAGCUUAAUCAAAAUGAGCAAGCCAUUUUCGCAUGGCUCAUAUUCACAUAUCCCAAAAUUAAACAUAUUAACUAGACUAUACAUGCCAUAGGUUCGAAUUCAAAAUAUAUAAAAUACCAAAGACGGUCGAUAGUGUGAUGGACUAUGCUGACGAUCCCCGAGCUCGUAACGCGACUCCAAAAUCUAUAAAACAGAGGUAAACAAAUACAAACACACAUUAAGCUAUUAAAGCUUAGUAAGUCAUAAGCAAAAAUUCAUAUAUAUAUAUACUUAUAAUUAUUCCAUCAUUAAGUUAAAAUAAACCAAAAUCAUUUAUAUAUUUAUAUAUAUAUAUAUCAAAUGCAUAUAAUCACUUAAUUUAACAUAUUCAGAUCACCGGCACUUAGCCUGCUAGGUUUAUAACCUGAUUCAUAUCACUAGCACUUAGCCUACUAGGCUUAUAGCCUGAUUCAGAUCACCGGCACUUAGCCUGCUAGGCUUAUAGCCUGAUUCAGAUCACCGGCACUUAGCCUGCUAGGCUUAUAGCCUGAUUUAGAUCACCGGCAUUUAGCCUGCUAGGUUUAUAACCUGAUUCAAAUCACCAAUUUCAAACUUGAUAAUUCAAUGAUUCAACCGAAUACAUUUAUAUAUAUUUGAGUCUAUCAUAUACAUAUAUAAUUACAUACUUAUAAUCAAAACAUGAAUUUAUACUUGUAUACUCAUACAUAUUCGAAUCUAAUAUAUACAUCCCUAAUUUCAUAUUCAACCCCAUAUAAGGUAUCAUACAUAUAUAUGCGUGCUUGUUCGAUCCACAUAUAUAUAUAGAUAUAUUAUAUAUAUAUACCUUUGAUUAAAAACCAAAAAAUUAUACAUGUAUAUACCUUAAUAUAUUCGAAUCUUUUAUGAACUUAUAUAACAUUCAUACUUCAAUUAAGAUCAAGAAUUUAAAUAUAUAUAUUACACACAUAUAUAUAUUCGUACAUUAUAUAAACACAACCAUAACAUCUGAACUUUUAAUUGAAUCCAAAAAUUUAUACUUUUAUAUACAUACCUAUUCGAACGUCAUAUAUAUAUGUAUAAGAUUCACACAUAAACUAACAUCAAUUUUAUACUUUUAGUUAUAGCUCAUUAAUUAUAAAAUAAAUAUAAUAACAUGAAUUUGCUAAUAGACUUACCUCGGAUGAUGGAAAAUCGAAGUCGGACGAUUAUUUGACUAAUUUGGCUUUCUCCCGAUCUAACUCCGAUUUCUUUGGUUCUUGAUCUAAAUAUAUUCAAAAUGAGAUAAUUUAUUUAUUAACACAUUCAAUUUAGUCCAAAAACACAUAAUUUGGCAAAUUACUAUUUUGCCCCUAAUAUUUACACUUUUUGCAAUUUACUCCCUAUUGCAUAAAACACAAUUUACACAAAAUUUGCCCAUACCACACAAGGGCCGAAUAUUCAUGGUUCUCAUACAAGUCCACACAUUUCAUUUAUUUCACAUUUUAGUCCCCCAAAAAUUUAAUUUCACAAUUUAGCCCUAUUUACUCAAUUUCACUAAAAAUUCCAAUACAAAACAUUUUAAUCUAAAAUAUAUCUUUCAUUAUUCAUCAUCAAACAUCACAUAACACAAAUAUUCAUCAAUGGAACAACUCAAAAUAUUCAUCAAAAUCAAAAAUUCAAACAUGGGUCGGAUAGUAUUCGAAGCAACGAUAUUAAAAACGUAAAAAUUAUCAAAAACCGAACAAAGAACUAACCUAAAUCAAGCUUCAAAAUGGCCGAAUAUUGCUUGGCUUCUUUUUUUUUCUUUUGCAUGAAUUCGGCUAAGAAAAGAUGAAAACAUUCAUCUUUUCAUCAUUUAUUUUGAUUAUAAUGUUUAAUUUAACAAUUGACUAAAUUAACCUUAUUAUAAUAAAUAUAUAUAACAUAUAUAUUAAGGUCAAUUAUGUCAUAUGCCACCCACUAUCUCCUUUAUGGUCUUAUUGCAUCAUAAAUCCUCCCAUUUAAAAAGACAUCAACAAUUAGGUGCUUUUAUAAUUAACCCCUAAAUUUUCAUUUUACGCGAUUAAGCCCUUUUAUUAAAUCGGACGCUUAAACGAUGAAAUUAAAACACGAAAAUUUCACACAAUCAAAUGCACACAAAAUAAACACACAAAAUAAUAUUAAAUUAUUUUUUUGACUCAGACUUGUGGUCCCGAAACCACUAUGUCCGAUUAGAGUCGAAAUCGGGCUGUUACAUUAUAAGCUUCAACUUAUAAAACUCAAAGCAAACAUUAACUAACAUACAUAUAAUUCAUGUGAUUAAUUUCAACUUAUCGAAUUCAAUACAUACAUUCGGCUAACAUAUAUGUAAUCCAUUAAAUUUCAUCCAACUUAAAAAAUUCAGCACAUAUAUAUUCGGCUAAAUAUAUAUAUAUAUAUAGAAUCUAUGCAAUUUGUUUUAACUUAUAAAACUCAAAUAUACAUUAACUAACACAUAUAUUUUAACUCAUAUACUUACACUUAUACGAAAUAACUAUAUAUGUAUAUUAUACUUACACUUAUACGAAAUAACUUACACAUAUAUACAAUUCAUACAUUAUAUUUUAACUCAUAUACUUACACUUAUACGAAAUAACUAUAUAUGUAUAUUAUUACCUAUUCGAUAUUUCCAUAUAUAUAAAUAUACUUAACAUUUAAACCUUGAAAUACGUUCAGAACUUAUUCGAAAAUAUACAUGUAUAUUCUUCAAUUCACACAGAGACAUUCAUUCAAAAUUAUUAAAGUAUAUACAAUAUAUACCCUUAAUUAUACAUAUACAUAUUCGAAAAUUGUUCUUACAAUUAUAGCCCUCAUAUCAUCAAAUAUUUCCAAAUGAAGUUUCAAACAUAUAGCUAUACUAUAUAUUAUUAUAUCCAUCUAUGCACCAUUCUUAACUACAUUUAAUCCCCAAAGCUUAAUUAGACUUAUAUUCAUAUAGCCGAAUAUAAGUAUACACAUAUAAGCCAUCUAUAUCAACUUAAUUAAUCAAAGUAUAUUAUUUUUUUAUACCUUAACAUAAAAAUACAGUAGAUAUUCAUACACACAAAUAUAUAUAUAUUUAUAUUGAAUUAUUAACAUUAAAUAGCUAGUCGACUUACCUCGGAUAUUAGUGGACACGAUCGACUAUUCAAUUUAACCUAAUCAAAUUUAACCUUUUUAUUCAUCAAAACAUUCAAUUAAGUCCAAAAAUACAUAAAUGGGAAAAUUACCAUUUUGCCCCUAACAUUUUGCACUUUUUGCAAUUUAGUCCUUUUUGCACAAAACACAAAAUACACAAAAUUUGCCCACACUAAGCUAGGGCCGAAUAUUCCUUAUCUUCAUACAAAUCCACACAAUUCAUUUAUUUCACAUUUUAAUCCCUAAAAAAUUCAUUUUCACAAUUUAGCUCUAAUUUCUCAAAUUCACUAAAAAUUCAAAAACAAAACAUGUUAAUCUAUCACAUUUCUUUCAUUUUUCAUCAUCAACUAUCACAAUGUUCAAGCAUUCAUCAAUGGCACAUUUCAAAAUCAUCAACAAUUCACAAAAUUAAGACAUGGGUUUUGAAGUAUUCAAAGCAACGAUCUCAAAAACAUAAAAAUUAUCAAAAACCGAAACCAAAGCAUGCCUUAAUUUUGCUAUGAAAGUGCCGAAACUUAAGAAACCAUGGAUGGUUUCUUCCUUUCCAAUAUUCGGCUAACAAAGAUGAACAUAUAUGACUUAUUUUAGUUAUAAUAUUAUAAUUUACUUAAUGACUAAAUUAACCUUAAUUAAAUAAAUUAUAAAUCACAUAACUUAAGGGCAAUGUUGGCAUAUACCACCCACUAACUAAAUCUUGGUCUAAUUACAUCUUUAGACCUCCCACUUAAAAAGACAACUACAAAUAGGUGCUUUUAAAUUUUAACCUCUAACUUUUAUUUUACACGAUUAAACCCUUUUUAUCAAAUUUAACCUUCAUACGAUUAAAUUUCCACACGAAUCUUUCACACCUAUAACUUAACAUAUAAUAAACACUAAAAAUAAUAUUAAAAUAUUUUUUGACCCGGAUUUGUGGUCCUGAAACCACUAUUCCGAUUAGGGUCAAAAUCGGGUUGUUACACUAAUGCUCGACCUAUAGCGGCGUUUUUCAAAAACCACCGCUAAUGAUAGACCUAUGGCGGUGUUUACCAGAAAGCGCCGCUAAUGCCACUAAAGCUCAAAAUAAAACAACAGCACUGUGCUUAAUUUUUGCGGCGUUUUUCAAAAAGCGCCACUAAUGCUCGACCUAUAGCGGCGAUUUUUAAGCAGGCGCCACUAAUGAUCGACCUAUAGCGGCAUUUUUCAAAAAGCGCCGCAAAUGCCGCUAAAGCUCAACACAAAAUGACGACGUUGUGCUUAAAUUUUUGCGGCGUUUUUAAACAAUCACUGCUUAUGCUCGACCUAUAGCGGCGCUUGUUUAAAAUCACCGCUAAUGCUCGACUUAUAGCGGUGUUUUUAAACAAGCGCCGCUAGUGCUCGACCUAUAGCGGCGUUUUUUAAGAAGCGUCACUGAUGCCCGAGCUAUAGCGACGUUUUUUGUCCAAACGCAGCUAAAAGUGCCGCUAAAAGCCUGUUUUGGUGUAGUGAUCACAUAUAUAAUAUGAUAAAUUACAUGUUAUUAUUUACUAUAAUAAAUUGUUAGUCUAAAUUAAAAGUGAUUUAAUUCGGUUAAAAUUUAUUGGGCUUUAAUUAUUAAAUAAUGUAUAAGCUAAAUAUGUAUAUAUAUUCUAGUAACUAAUUUAUAAUUAAUGAUAGGUUGAUAAGAAAUUAAGGUUAAUGUGCAAAAGUUAUAUAUUAAGAUUAUAGUUCCCAAAUUAUAUUAUGACAUUCUAUCUUCAAAAAAGAUAGAAUCACCUUCUCUAAAUUACUUGUGUGUUAAUUUGGCAUAUUAAAAUUACAAGAUUUGAAGAUUUCAAAAUAUCGAUAGAUUUAGAUAUUCUUCCAUAUCUAAUUUUGUUAUUAAUGAUUUGACAUGAUAAAUAUUAGUUUACUAAUUUUUAUAUCAAUUUUUUCGGUUCUAACAAAUCUUACAUAUCCUUAACGAAGAUGCGUAGCAUAGCACAUGAAGUUCUCCAGGUCAAGGUUUGCAGCUUAGGAUGUCAGAUGUGUGGUUUACUAGGAUGUCAUGUGUUGGGUUCCCUAAGGGCGCACAAUGGGGUUUGCAGUGUAGGUAUAACAUUUUUAUUUUUUAGGAUUUACUACCAUGGUUCUUUUUUAGAAGAAUAUGUAUAUAGCAUCUGAUAUCUCUUAAUCUCAAAUUUUAAUAUACAAAUUUAAUAACCUUACCUUUGUAUUUAGGGGUGAGUGUUGGAUUAAAUCAUGUUGAAUUGAAUGAAAAAAAUUCGGGUUGACUGAGUUAAUGAAUCUCAUUUUGUCAUCCUAAUUCGAUUUGAACUCUUUUUAAAUUGAGUCAAAUGAAAUAAAAUUCGAGUUGACUCAAAAUGAAUGAAAUUUGAGUCAAAUUAAAAAAAAUUAAACAUGUCAAAUUAAAAUCUUGUUGUAAUAUAAUUAAUUUCAUGUGAAAUUAAAACUCUUUCAAAUCAAAACAAGAGAGAAAAUAAGAUAGUUUAGUAUGAUAAACUUGAAUAUAUAAUUUACUUGUUUAGGUCCUCAAAUUAUUAUUUUGGAAAUUUUUUUAAAAAUUUCAUAUAUUCCUUAUCUUUUAGAAUAUUUUACUUUUUAAAAUUUUUUUAUAAAUAAUUUAAAAUUUUAAAAUUAUUUUAAAUUUUAUUUUAUAAUUUUUGUUGAGAGAGACCAUUUGUUCAUUUUCGAAAUUGUCAGGGACCAAAAUUACACCAAUUUUAUUUGAAUUAUUAGAGUUAUUUGAAUGGUCAAAUUUAACUCGACUUGAACGUGAAAAAACUUGAAAACUUGAAAUAUUUUUUCAAGUUGACUCAAAGAACCAAAUAUCUCAAUUUAAUUAACUCGAAAAUUAAGAUUUUUUUCGAUUUUUUUAGUUGAAUCGAGUUUUACUCACAAUAUUUGUAUUAAUUGCUUGAAUAUUCCAAACCACUAAUAAAAAGAAAUUGUAAAGGAAGACAAUAAAUAAUUUUGGGUUUCUUUUUAGUAUUUUUUCUUUGAAAUAUUGCAAUAUGAUUUUAUCAAAAAAGAGUUCAAAAUAGGGGGAAAGAAUUAAUGCUUGCAAGUUAAAGUUAAAGACUCGUUUUCUUUAAUUCUUGAUUUUGGGGAGGUGGUUACAACUGUAGCAUAACAGCACACAUAAUCAGUCCAUAAAUGUUGCUUUAUUUUCAUCUUAAGAAGAGAGUAAAAGUAGGGGAUGUUUAUUUUAACAUCCGUUAUUUAAUUUGAUUGUCGAGUUCGAGCUAUAGGAUGCUCAGUCAUUGUUGAAAUAAUUAUAGUCAAAUUCAUGAUAAAAUAAUCAUUUCCACAAGCAUUCAAACAGCGAUCACAUUCAUUUUAGGUUUAACAAUCAAUCUCUAGUCUUAAUUGAGCUUACGAAAUCUUUUUUGAUAAUCUGAGCACAAAAUAAGAUCAAAUUGCAAAGGUUUAAAAGUUUAGGGUCGACGUCAUGACGUCAUCAAUUCCACAUUAGGACGUCACCAAUACAGUAUGUCACAUCACAAUGUUAGACCACUCAACGCUGUGAUGUCACUUAUCGAUGACUCUAUUUUUGAUAAAAAUGAACCAUUUGGGACCUAUUUCAAUGCUUCCAAACAAUACCUACAACAUGCACCAAACAUCAAAUUCAAUUGGUCUAAAAUAUACCUAAAACCAUAUCAGUUAAGUUCAAAUAAUCACAUUUAACUUCUUAAACAACAUUCAUUACCUAUUCAACCAUUAGACUUAACAUUCUGUGUAACGCCCCAAAAUUCUUAUUUUUGUUAUAGUGAUAAUGUGACACAAUUGUGUAUCGGCAUUUGUGGUUAAGUGCUCUAGGUAAGUUUGGGAGGUCUUGAGUUCAAGCCCUGACUUUGGAAAAUUCUAGUAUUUUUCUGACUUAACCCCUAUUUCGGGCUAGUAGGCUUUUAAUUAAAAGUUUGUAAGUACUUAUUAGAAUGGGCCUGCUGGUCUGGUGGUUAAAGGGAGUGUUAGUUGGCAAAGGGUCAAGAGUUUGAAUCCCUGCGUGAGUGUAAGGACAAAUAUAAUUUUUAUUUGCUCGUCAGUUGGAGACUUUGAGUUGUAUUGGAAAUCUAAGUAGUGGGAGUUUGGUAGAGAGAAUUUAGGGGAGUGGAUUUUGGGGUUAUCAGAUUUUCUGAGCAUUAUCAUUUCCUUUUUGUAAAAUUUUGAUUUUCCCAAAACUCCCCACCUUUCCGACGCCAUCUCUUCUCCCUUUCUUCUUUCACCUUUUUUAUUUUGUUGUCAAACCCGAAUUUUUUUUGUUUCAAUUAUUCUUUCUGUUUUCGUCUCUUUUGUUCGCUACCACACCUUCGUUCCGUUGGGUCAAUUUUCGUCGCACGUUCGGAAAAGUAGAGUUUUUGCUCUCUUUAACUUACGAUUUUUUUCCAAAUUUAAUUUGGGGGUUUGUGGCGUUUGUCAACAGCAUCUCACGUGGAUUAGGGGUCUCAUCGUGUUAUUGUGUAACCAACUGUUUUGAGGUGCUGGGGUAAGCUUUUCAUUGCUUAAAGGAUGCGUUUCUUGUUUUGGAUUUAGUUUUAGUUCGAUUGAUUAAGUGAUAAAUUAAAUGAAAUUGGUCAAUUAUAGGUUCUGGAGUGCUCGAGGAUUGUUGUAGCAUCAAUCGAUACCAGGUGUGUACCCGAAACACAAAAAUAAGGGAUUCGGCGAAAAGCCGAUACUGCUUGCUAUUUAGAUAGAAGCAGUAGGCUAUUUUAAAAAAUCACCAUAAAUCGUGAGAAUCAAUUUGGAGGGUGAAAAAAUAUGAGAUUAAAUAUAUUUGAGUCUAGUUUUUCAUAGAAGAAACGAAGUAAUUAAAAGAAUUUCAUAUUAUGAAAUAAUGGAAUUUUUGUGAGACAAGGUCAGAAUGAUUUCAGAAUCCCCUGUCUUGAAUUCUGAAAAUUAUUAAAACUUGUAUAAAAAUGAUUAUGGGUUAUAUUUUAUAUGUUUAAAAAUCAUAAGGAGUCUAUUUUCAAGAUAUACAAAUAGGAACAUUGUCCAAAAUCUGUACGAGAAGAUAAUUAAUUUUUAGUGCAGAAAGUUUGAUACCGCCAGAUAGCAGAGUAGGGGAAAAUUUAAAGAAUAAAAUGUACUUACUGGCUAAACCAAAAAUUCUAAAAAUUUUAUGGUAAGAAGAUAUAUGAGUCUAGUUUUAGGAAAAAUUUGUAGACCUUGAUUUGGAAUUAUGUAGCUUAAGAUACAAAUAAUUUAGUAAUAGUGACUCAAGUAGACAACUUUGAAGGAUUAUAAGUAAAUAGAGGAAAGACAUAUGAAUAAUUAUCUAGCAUGGGUGACACUAAAAUGGAUCACGAGACCAAGGCCAAUUUGGGCCAUGUAGGCCACACGGGCGUGUGGGCCCACACAGGUGAACUUCUUAGGCUCGUAGGCCCAUUUUCACUGUUUGACUGAUAAGGUUGCACGGGUCGCCCAAGUCGAUUGCAAACCUACUGUAGGGACGGUAAGUUUACCUAGACCCCUAACUGACUGAAAUGACUAUAUGACUGAUAUGAUUAAGCUUGAUGAUGUCCUAAUGAUUUGAUAUUGUAUGCUCUGUUUACAUGCAUUAUAUUAUGUUACACCAUGUCAUGUUUGUAUAUUGCAUUACAUUGGGUUGGGGAAUUAUAAUGUUCGGAGGAAGUGUACAGAAAGGCCUCGAGCCUAAGUUACUGGCAGCUCUACUGUGAACUACUGUUUAGUGCCGCAUUCGGUACUUUUUGGAGUGUAGGGAUGGGUGGGUUGAUUAUAUCCCCACAUGCCAUAUGGAGUGUAGGGUUGGACGGAGUUGGAGUGUAGAGGCUGGCUGGGUAGGAUUUGAAACUGUAUAUCUGUUACUGCAUUGAUUAUUGAUACUGUAAUGGGUCAAGGCCCAAAUGCAUGUCUGCUUCUAUAUUGUAAUGGGCUAUGACCCUAUUUGAAACUGAAACUGUACUGAAAUGGGCCAGAUUGCGAUUGCCUUCUGACUGUUUGCUUUAUAUGGGAUUACACACUGAGUUUUCAUAAACUCACCCUUCUAAUUUGACUGUACAGGUAAUCCCCAGACAUAGGCGGAUCGGUGCAGCGGAGGACUCAACAAUGGCCACACGACCUAUUUAGUUCGAAUUAGUAAUUAAUUAUAAUUUUGAUUUUAUUUUGGGGUAUUUUACUGUAAUAAUGGCCUCUUUGGGUUUUUAUUUUUAAUUUGGGGUUUUUAUUGUUUUGAUUUACAACUGCUAGUAGUAGGGAUAAUCGAGUUUUCAAAACGGAUCAAACAUUUUAACAAAAAUCGCACAAACAUGCAAACUAUUUUGAAAAACUUCCGCAAUAAGUGACGUUUUGAAAAUUAAUAACGUUUUGAAAGAGAAUAACUUUUGAAUACGAAUCACAUUGAAAUUGAUCGACACGUCUUGGAAUUAAGCAUAAGAGAGUGUGAAGAGGUGGUAAAGAUAAGAGGUUUUCGACGACAGCUUAUUUUUCGAAAAACACUACCAUGUGACACUGCCAGAUUCGGCCAUAACGUCCAAGUUAGGUUGGGGGUGUUACAUUCUGUUACCAGGACAUACAUAUCAAUCAAAUUAUCCAAAUACCGAGCCACACCUACUUGCUAUUUCAUAUAAUACUCCAAACAAAUCAUAUUAUUUUAGUUAAUGGAUUUAAAGAUUAUCGUUUGAGUCAAGGCCAAAAUUUUAAUGUUUGAAAAAUGUAAGAACUAAAAGUGAUCAAAUUGGACUAAAGCUACAAUAUAAGACCAAUUGCAUAAUUUAAUUUUAUAAAUUUAAUUGCUAUCGUUUGAAUCAGAACUGAAAUUUCAAAAUUCCUUAAAGUAAAACUAUCAAGUAAAAGUAUAAUGAUUAAACAAUAAUUUUUGCAUAGUAUAAAGUAAAACUAUCAAGUCAAAGUAGAAAUAUUAUGAAAAUUCAGGAUCUGAACAUCGAAAACGAGAUGUGCUUACCAAUUCUUGGCAAGCAUAUGGAUGCUAUUGAUUUCAAUUACAAAAUCGAUAAAAAGAAUGAUUGAAUGGAGAAUGAUUUGAUUCAAGUAGGCAAAAUAAUUAACAACAAUUAGGAUGAAAAUAUGGUGUAAAGAAAAGGGAAAGAAAAUAAAAAGAGAAUAAACAGAAAGAUGGAAAGUAAAUUCUAUUAGGAUUUGAAAAGGAGCAAUAUGAAAAUCUAAUUAAGAAAAGAAGAGAAAAGGAUGAUGGGAUUCUAAUUAGGAAAGAAUUUGUUAAAUUCCUAGGGUUAGGGGCUGUACAUACAAAUUUCCCAAAUUUGGAGCAAGGGCGACAAUUUGCAAAUUUCCCUUAUUCUAAGUCGAAUUUAAAAAGAAAUAGAAGAGGGAAAAGUGUGCUUGAACUUGGGUUUAUGGGAAGGGUGCUGGCGUGUUAACCAUUAGGCCUGUAACAUCCCAAAAUUUGGGUUAGAAGAAAUUGAGUUUUGAGACCAAGAGUGGAAAUCUUUCGAUUUUAAGUUUAGAUUUUGGAAAAAGUUUGAUAAGUAAAUUUGUUUGGUUUAGUGGCUAAUGUUCUGGUUAUGUAUGUGAGGUAUUGGGUUUGAAUCCUAUCUCUUAAAAUUUUGCUACUUUUGUCUAAAUCCCUAUAUUUAGACAUGUGGGUUAUAAGUUAGAUUCAGUCAAUUGAUGAUAAGAAUAAGCCUACUAGUUUAGUGGUUAAGCUUUUGUGUACCCUUUGAUCUUGUGUUCAAAUCCUUGUGAAAGUAAUAGGGAAUGCUUUAUUUUAAAUUUCUUUGUGAGGUAGUUAGUUUUAGUUAGUUAAACUAAACUUCCCAAAAACCUUCUAGGUUGGUGGCAUUGUUUUGUUUUUCUUUUUGUUUUUCUUUUCCAUUUUCUAUUUCUACCAUUCCUUCGUUAUUUCUUUUUUUUUGUUUUGAUUCUUCUCUUCAAACUACCUUUUUUUUGUUCUGUUAUGCCAAAUUGAUUCUGUACGGGGUUAGACUUUUCAUUUUUGGUUCAAUUCAUUACUGGUAAGUUCGAUUUAAAGUUUGUGUUGAAAGUUCUUCAACGUAACUUCAGUCUCGGACGUUAAUAUUAGUAUUUUGAGUGCGAAUAUAUUGUUUGAUUUGUUUUGUAAUGUUAUUUUAGGGACGAGAAUUCACCCUUGUUACUUCUGCAUCGAAUUCGUAUCGUGUGGGUACUGAUAACCCAACUUUCCUUUCGAGUUUAGUCAUUAGAAAACUGAUUAUUGACGUUACACUGUUAUGUGCUAGGCCAUGUAACUUAAUGUUCAUGAAAAUCGGAGGCACAUGGGCGUGUGCCCAGGCCGUGUGUGGUUAUGUGUUAUGCAAGGUUCACAUAGGUCAAUGACACGGACAUGUGUUUAGGUCGUAUAACUCACUGAUUGUGGAUUAGAACCACAAGGGCAGGUGACAUAAGGGCGAAUAUCUGUUAUAUUUGAACCUAAGUAAUUAGGAUCUAUCAGAAAGUAAUGUACUAUUGUCUAAUGCCUUUACGUCACUCUAUUGCUUAAGAACAUGUGAUAUCUGAAUAUAUUGAAUUGAUUGGUACUGGUUCUGAUUUAUAACCAUGCAUGCGACUUCAUGGAAAAUUUGAUAUUAUUUGUUAAUUUUUGGUAAAUCUGUUUUAUAACACAUGGAAUCUAAUGCCUAUUGACUCUGUUACUGUAUGAUAGCGUGACUUACAUGCUUAUCACUCUGUUUCUGUAUAUACAUGCCAUGAUAUGUUGCAUGGGACUUGGGAUGAUGGGAAAGUUGGAAGUUUUUGGCAGUUGACGAUUUGCAUUAUCUAAUGGUUUAUCCAUGUUUCUAUUCUUACAGCUUGGCUGCAAUAUAGUGGCUUUACCGCAUGUAUUCGAUCUGGUGAUUUUAACUACAAAAUUCUGGUGGCACUGCCCACAGUUAUCUGUUGGUGUGAUUUGGCUGGACAAGUUUUGGGGGAACUCUAUUUUGGUGUGUGGCGGAGUUGGGUAGGAUGUUUUCUGAUAAAUUUAUAUUCUGAACUAUUUUGGAAUACCGCUUCUACAUAAACAUACAUCCUUUGUGUAACUCUGUUCAGUUCUGCUUUGUUUCGUUCUGUUCUGCUCUGUUCUGUUCUAUAAUGUUCUGCUCUGUCCUGUUCUGGUUGGUUUGUGUUGUACUGUUAUAUUAACACGAUGGCAACCUCUAUGAUACUCUGGCAUGUUCCAUUCUGGAUUUAUACUCACUAUUAAGUUCUCUGUGUCACUCUAAUUUAUAUAUUAUGUUUUGUUAAUUGUAAUUGGUGUUGUUAAUACACUGGGCUCUGUAGCUCACUCUUUUGCUUUUAUCUUUGUGUAUUCAGGUAAGCCUCUGACUUAGGACCAGACGGUGUGUGGGAGCUCGGAUUGUUUUGUAGUAAUGUAGAAAUGCUUGAUCUUUUGGGUUUGUAGUCUAUUUCUUAGCUCGCAUUAGUUUUUGUUAAAUUUUCAGUAGUUGAUAAUUUUUAACGCGAAGCUACAAAACCAUUUAAGUCGACAAAACAGGUUUCGAUUUUCAACGUUAAUUCUGAAAAGAUUUUCUGCCACAAGUCAAGUAAAGUUUUGAAUGCUUUUUGGAUAAUUACUGAAAUCAGUUUUCAAGGUGUAACUCAUCUAGAUUCAGCUUAAACUUCUAGGUCAGGUUUGGGGUGUUAGAAGGCCUAAGGCCUAUUUUUUACUUAAUUUUGACACUUAAUUAUACACAUUGUUUCUUCUUGGGAGGCUUGCCGAAUUUCCAAAAUAAAAGGGGAAAGAGAGGCUCAAACUUUGGUGUCUAAGAAGUGUUAACGCCUUAACCAUUGAGCCAUUGCUCAUUUCUUAAUUAUAUUUUUAUGCUUAAUCAUAUGUGUAACACCGCUAACCCGUAUCCGUCACCGAAAAGGGGUUACGAGGCAUUACAUAUCAUAACACGGUUCAAUACAUACAUUUAUCAACAAUUAUCACAUUGCAAUUAGUUUCAUAAAAUAAUCUCAUAACAUACUUAAAACGAGCAUAUCACUAUAAAACACUCUAAAACUAUAGCUAAAUAAACAUAAUUAAUUUAACUCAUCACAAGGCAUUUGGUCAUACAUCUGCAACAUUUAAACAUCAAUGACCAUGACACAUAUAAUACCAUUUCAACAUCACAUUUCGAUACCAUUUAUGUCAUUCAAAUAAGCAACCAAAACUAAUUUAAUAUAUACUCAAUUCGUAACAUAAUCAUGCAACCAUUUUUAAUUACAUUUAGCCUAAACAGAACAUACCAAUUUCGCAUGUUAAUCUCACCAAAUUAGCAACUAUCAAUACUAAACACAAAUGCCAAAAUUACAUAUUCACAACCAAUUCAUUUCUCACUUAUUCGGCUAGCAAAUUAGCUUCAAAAUUCAUACCAAUUCCACCAUUAAAUUUUAAGCUAAACAUAAUAUUUCAUAACCUAAUACAAACAUCAACAUGUCAUUUAUAACUAUAUACAUAACCAACGAAAUGAACCUAAAACAUAGUUAUUAUUCACCAUAUAGAAUUGUACCAAAAUAACCAAUAUACGAUCAACAUAUAUUCAUCAUAUAACCUAUAGGAACAUAAAAGAAUACAUCCAUCAUUUACCCCAUUACUCAAACCAAAUUAUAUAACCAUCCACCACACAAGAUAUACCAUAUAACAUACUUUCAAAAUGAGCUAAUUACAUGGCCUAAUAUACACAAGCAUUAGCGUCAUUAUCAAGCCAUUUUCGCAUGGCUAUAUAUAUACACAGAUCAAAAUGAACCAUAUCGAAACUAGUCUAUACAUGCAAUAUUUACACAACUUCCAUGAGUUCAAAAGUAUCGAGAAAUCGACUGGAUAGUGUGAUGCUUAUCUGCGAUGUCGACCUAAUCGAGCUAGUAACGAACUUCUAUAAAACACAAAGAAAUAAAUUGAGUAAGCAUUAAAGCUUAGUAAGCCCGUAUAAUAGAAUUAAACUUACCACAUUACAUAAUUUAAGCAAUUAAAACAAUAUUUCCAUCUUGAAUAUUCAAAUGCCUAUCACACAUACAUCUCAAUAGGUUAGAGUCUUAAAUAUGCAUAUAACCAGCAUUUCAUCCAUGAAUGAUUCAAUUUGGCAUUCAACUUACAUAGCAUUUCAUUCAUACAUUUCAUAAAAUCUCGUUUCCAGUUCCAUACGUUCUCAUAACACAUAUCAUAUUCCAUAUAUACAAUUCACAUAGAUCAUAUUCCAUUUCAUUCUCAAUCAUAUAAUUGGUAAUAGUAUAAUGCCCGUUGAACCUAAUAAAACAUCGAAGGAUACUCAGGUGAUACACACUAUGUGCAUUAAACGGUAAUCCGUCAAUUCAUUAUCAUUUUCGCUCUUUCCAGCCAUGAUCAGUAAGCUCAUUCUGAGUUGAAGAACGGUAAGCUCUAUCGAGCUGAAACGGUAAGCUCAUAAGAGCUGAUAUAUCAGUAAGCUCACACGAGCUGUGGUGAGUCUACAACAAAUGCAGGAGCUUGACCAAAAUGGUAACCCUAGUGACAUGUCACUCGUAUCCUAUGAUUUUUUAUAGUUUAAACGAGGCUCAGUAUUACUCAAUACAUUUCAAAUUAAACAAUUCAAUAUCGUUUAUUUGAACCAUUCAAUUCACAUAUAUAUACCUAAUCAUUUCAUACAAUUGUAAUUAAAUGAAUAUUUGAUUCUGAUUAUACGAACUUACCUCAAGUUGCUUGGAUGUAAAUUAUCGACUAUUCGUCCGCUUUUCUUUUUCCCUGAUCUAAUCCCAAUCUCGACUUAUCUUGAUCUAUAUAUGAUCAAAAUCAGCUUAUUUAAUCAACUAUUUAUUGAAUUUAGUCCAAAACACACAUUAGGGCUAUUUUGCACAUUUGCCUCUAAACUUUCACAAUUUAGUCCCUAUUUCAAAACAAAACAAAAUACACAUAAUUUCAUUAAACCAAGCUUGGCCGAAUUCAAUACAUGUUACUAGCAACCCAUAUUUUCAAUUUAUUCACACUUUUAACCACCACAUUUCACAUUUUAUCAAUUUAAUCCCUUUUGGACAUUUUUGUCAAAAAUCAUGUUGCAAAACUUGUAUAUCUAACAUUAAACCUUCAUAAUCUAUCAUUAAACACUUAAAAAACCAAGCAUUCAACAAUGGCAUCAUUUGAAAUCUAUAACAGUUUCAAAAAAGAAGGUACGGGCUAGCUAGUACUAGUUGCAAUGAUCACAAAAACAUAGAAAUUAUAAAAAACGGGACAAAAAUCACUUACCUAUUGACAAAUAGGGUUGGCUGAACCUAGCUCAACAAUGGCUUCCUUUUUCUCUUUUAAUUUCGGUUGAUGAUGAUGAAUAAAAGAUGAAGACUUGUUUUAUUUCAUUUGUUUUUAUCAUUAUUUUAAAAAUUACUUAAAUAACAUUUAAAAACAUCACUAAUUACACAAAUGCCAUGCCAUCACAUUCCACUAUCUUCAUUAGAGGUCUAAUUACCAUAUAAGGACUCUUACUUUAAGGUUCUAUAGCUAUUUAAUACUUUUAACUACUAGAACUCAACUUUCACUUUACGCGAUUUAGUCCUUUUUUAUCAAAUUGAGCAUGUAAACGAUAAAAUUUCUUCACGAAAUUUUUACCUAAUAAUUCUAUCAUGCUGUAAAAUUUAAUAUAAUAAUAAAAUUAAUAUUUUAACUUUGAAUUUGUGGUCCCAAAAGCACUGUUUCGAUGUGACCCGAAAACGGACUGUUACAACUCUCCCCUUAGGGAUUUUCGUCCCUGAAAAUCUUACCAGUGAAUAGGUUCAAGUAUUGCUUUCUCAUAGCAUCCUCGAUUUCCCAAGUAGCUUCUUCGACCCCGUGUCGAUACCAUAAGACUUUCACUAAAGAAAUUUUCUUAUUUCUCAGUUCUUUGACCUCGCGAGCUAUUAAUUUGAUCGGUUAUUCGUUAUACGUCAUAUCAGGCUGUUUUUCAAUCUCAAAAGGAGAAAUGACAUGCGAGGGAUUGGAUUGGUAUCGUCGAAGCGUCGAUACAUGAAAAAUGUUGUGAAUUUUCUCUAACUCAUUCGUUAGAGCUAACCGAUAUGCCAUUGGACCUAUUCUCUCGAUGAUCUCAUACGGCCCGAUGAAUCUCGAACUCAACUUUCCCUUACGACUGAAUCUAAGUAUUUCCUACCACGGAGAGACUUUUAAAAACACUUUAUCCCCAACCUAAAACUCAAUAUCUUUUCGUUUUAAAUCUGCGUAUGAUUUCUGACGAUUUGACACUGCUUUCAAACUAUCACGAAUCACUUUCACUUUCUUUUCAGUCUCUUUAAUCAAAUCGACCCCGUGAAUCUUAUUCUCGCUGAGCUCUAUCCAAUACAAAGGUGUUCGGCAUUUGCAACCGUACAAAGCUUCGUAAGGUCCCAUUUUAUACUCGAUUGAAAGCUAUUAUUAUACGCAAAUUCAAUAAACGACAAAUACUUUUCCCACGUACCUUCAAACUCAAAAACGUAACAUCGUAACAUAUCCUCAAGUAUUUGAAUAACUCGCUCGGAUUGUCCAUCCGUCUGUGGGUGAAAAAUGGUACUGAAGUGCAGUUUUGUACCUAGUGCAUCUUGCAGUUUCUUCUAAAACUGCAAUGUGAACCUCGGGUCUCUAUUCGAAACAAUAGAAAUAAGUACUCCGUGCAAUCUCACAACCUCAGAACUAUACAACUCAGCUAACUUAUCAAGCGAAGAGUCCAUUCGUACUAGAAUGAAAUGAGUUGAUUUCAUCAAUCUGUCAACUAUAAACUAGAUCGCAUCUUUCUUUCUCAGAGAUAAGGGCAAUCCCGACGCAAAAUCCAUAGUCACUCUAUCCCAUUUCCAUUCAGGAAUCAUAAUCGGCUGCAAUAAACCAGAUGGUACCUGAUGCUCAGCUUUAACUUGCUGACAAAUAAAACAUUUAGAAACGAACUUUGAGAUGUCACGUUUCAUACCAGACCACCAGUAAAGCUGUUUCAGAUCGUUAUACAUUUUCGUGCUUCCCGGAUGAAUAGACAAAUGACUACUAUGAGCUUCAUUUAAAAUCAUCUGAAAUAACUCUGAAUUUCUCAGUACACAUAUUCGAAUUCUGAAUCUUAAACAAUCAUUAGCAUCGACUCGAAACUCUGAAUCAGAAUUCAAAUCACAUUGAGCCCGUUUCACUAACAAUUCAUUAUCAACUUUCUGAGCUUCGUAAAUCUGCUGCAUAAAUAACAGUCUUUCUUUCAACUCAGCUACAAUCGCACCGUCAUCAGAUAGGGCUAACUGAGUAUUCAUUGCACGUAAAGCAAACAAAGAUUUCUGACUUAAAGCAUUAACAACCACAUUGGCCUUUAUCGGAUGAUAGUCAAUUAAUAGCUCGUAAUCUUUUAACAAUUCCAACCAUCUUCGCUGUCGUAGAUUUAGAUCUUUCUGAGUCAUCAAAAUAUGUUAAGCUCUUGUUAUCAGAAUAAACAUGACAUUUCUCAUCGAACAAAUAAUGGCGACAAAUAUUCAAUGCAAACACAAUGACUGCUAACUCUAAAUCGUGUGUCGGAUAAUUCUUUUCAUGCCGUUUCAACUGUCUCGAGGCAUAAGCUAUGACUUUGCCUUCCUGCAUCAAAAAACAACCCAGAAUAUUCAACGAUGCAUCACUAUAGAUUACGGUUCUGGCUGUACUAACACUGGAGCUUAAGUCAAAAGAGCCUUCAGCUGUUCAAAAAUUUUCUGGCACUUGUCCGACCAUUCGAACUUAACAUCUUUCUAAAGUAGUCUCAUCAACGGAGUUGCAAUCAUUGAGAAACCUUUUACGAAUUGUCUGUAAUAACCAGCGAGUCCUAGAAAACUUCAGACUUCAGAUGCAUUUUUCUAAAGCUUCUAUUCUAAUAUUACCGAAAUCUUACUCGGAUCAACUCGAAUACCUGAUGCUGACACAAUAUGCCCUAAAAACCCAACUUCUCAUAAUCAGAACUCACAUUUACUUAACUUUUCAAAUAGUUGUUUAUCUCGCAAAGUCUGCAGCACUAUUCUUAGAUGUUCAGCAUGCUCAGAUUCAUCACCAGAAUAGAUCAAGAUGUCAUCUACAAACACAACAACAAAUCUAUCCAAAUAUGGUCUGAAGAUCCGAUUCAUUAGGUCCAUAAAAAUAGCAGGUGCAUUCGUUAGUCCGAAAGGCAUAACUAGAAACUCAUAAUGCCCGUACCUCAUUCGAAAAGCAAUUUUUAGCACAUCUGAGUCUUUAACUCGCAGCUAAUAAUAACCCGAUCUCAAAUCUAUCUUAGAAAACACUGUAGCCCCUUUCAGCUGAUCAAACAAAUCGUCUAUUUGUGGUAGAAAAUAUUUAUUCUUGAUUGUCACUUUAUUGAGCUGUCUAUAAUCAAUACACAUUCUCAUAGUUCCGUCUUUCUUUUUCACAAAUAAUACCGGAGCACCCUAGGGAGAGAAACUCGGUCAUGCAAAUCCUUUAUCGGUCAACUCUUACAACUGAGAUUUCAAUUCUUUUAACUCGGUUGGAGCCAUUUCAUAUGGAGCUAUUGAUAUCAGAGUAGCUCUCAACACUGGUUCAAUACUAAAUUCAACUUUUCGAAUCGGUGGUAAUCCCGGUAGCUCUUCGGGAAAUACAUCUGGAUACUCACACACAACUGGCACAAAUUCAAUCUUCUUUUCAAUCACUUUUGUAUCAAGAACAUAAGCAAAGUAAGUUUCAUAGCCUUUUCUCACAUAACUCUGAGCUUUCAUCGACAAAAUCACAACCGACAAUCCAUUCAGAUCAUCUGACUUAACCUGGAUAAUCUCAUUAUUCUAACAUAUCAAAUCGAUCGUCUUUCGUUUGCAGUUCACAAUCGCAUCAUGCAACGUUAGCCAAUCCAUACCCAGGAUUAUAUCAAAUUCAUCAAAUGGUAACAACAUUAGAUCGACCAGAAAACAAAAAUCUAGAAUCAUCAACGAAUAGUUCUUGCACACUUUAUUUACGAAAACACACAUGCCUAAUGGGUUCGAUACUCUAAUUACAAUUUCAGUAGACUCUAUAGGAAAAGUCUUAAUGGAUACUAAAUUCACACAUAUAUACGAAUGAGUUGAUCCUGGAUCUAUCAAUGCAAUCACAUUAGUUUCAUAGAGAGUGAAAGUACCAGUAAUCACGUCUGGCGAAGAUGCCUCCUCUCGUGCACAGAUAGUGUAAGCUCGGGCAAGUGCUCGUGCUUCAGAUCUAACAGCAGAAUAACUCGUAACACCUCGAUUACCACUCAUAUUUCCAGCAUUUCGAGGUGGUCUUCCUCUAGUAGCAGUAUUACUGGAUCUCACUUUCACUGGUUGAUCUCUUUCAGCUGUCAGUUGCUCUGAACAAUCUCGGAGAUAGUAAGCCAACGAUCCACAUCUAAAACACGCUCCGCUCAUCAUUCUACAUUCACCGUAAUGGCCCCUGCUAUAAUACUUACACUUAGGUCCAACAUUUCUAACACUUCCCACACUUGCAAUCAGCGUCGUCUGAAGUUUAGAGCUGUACUGUCUGACCUCUCUAUCUCAGAUCAAAAUCCCUACAAAAGCAGUAGAACGAGGAUGAUACUCUCUAAAUUUCUUUGAUGCGAACAGAUGAGACUUUCCCAAAAAUAUUUUUCUAGCAUAUCUGGCUUCAGAAUUAGCUUUUCUUUUCUCUUUACCAAGCUCUUUAGCUUUACAGGUUCAUUCAACCAGAACAACGAACUCUUUCAACUCAAGAAUCUCGACUAGCAAUCGGAUAUCUUCAUUCAAUCCAUUCUCGAAUCUUUUACACAUUUAGCCUCGUUAGAAAUACAUUCACGAGCGUAUUUGCUGAGUCAUACAAAUUCUCGCUCAUAUUCAGUUACUGUCAUUCGGCCUUGUUUCAAUUCAAAAAAUUCCUUUCGUUUCUGAUCAAUGAACCGUUGACUGAUAUAUUUCUUUUUGAACUCAGAUUGAAAGAAUUCCCAAGUAACUUUUUCUUGCGGAACAACAAAUAUUAGUGUAUUCCACCAAUGGUACAUUGUAUCUCUCAAAAAAGAUAUAGCACACUUCAAACAUUCGUCAAGUGUGUAGGAAAGUUCAUCAAAAACCCUGAUCGUGUUUUGAAGCCAGAACUCAGUUCUCACAGCAUAGUCACUAACUGUAGCUCGAAAUUCUUUAGCCCUAUAUUUUCUUAUCUUAUCAAAGGGAGGUUUAUUCAAUCGCAACGGGUCUAUACCUUUAGGCAUUACAGGGAUCAGGUGAGGAACAGGUGAGGGUGGAGGUUGUUGAGCAGCCGGGUUUGCUCGAACAAAUUUAGUAAACCAUUCAUUUAACACUUGGAAGAAAGCUUGUUUAGCUUCUCCUCCCUAACUUCCCGUAACAGGACUAGAUUCAAAAGGCGCAGUCUCUCGAGCGAGAGCUGGUGCAUUACUUUUAACGUUGUUGGCUACGGCUUGAUUUGGAUCCAUUUAUUAUAUAAAAACACAUUUUAAUUGUUAGGAAUCAUCGCACUAUCGCAGUUUAUAUAUAUGUCAUGUAUAGCUAGACUCACACACUACGUUAGUCCUAGAACCGACUAAACCGUAGCUCUGAUACCAAUAAAAUGUAACACCCUUAACCCACAUCUGUCAUCAGAAAGGAGUUACGAGGCAUUACAGAUCAUAACACGGUUCAAUACAUACAUUUAUCAACAAUUAUCACACUACAAUUAGUUUCAUAAAAUACUCUCAUAACAUACUUAAAAUGAGCAUAUCGCUAUUAAACACUCUAGAACUACAGCUAAUUUAACAUAAUUAAUUUAACUCAUUACAAGGCAUUCGGUCAUACAUCUGUAACAUUUAAACAUCAAUGACCAUGACACAUAUAAUACUAUUUCAACAUCAUAUUUCGAUACCAUUUAUGUCAUUCAAAUAAGCAACCAAAACUAAUUUAAUAGAUACUCAAUUCGUAACAUAAUCAUGCAACCAUUUUUAAUUACAUUUAGCCUAAACAAAACAUACCAAUUUUGCAUGUUAAUCUCACCAAAUUAGCAACUAUCAAUACUAAACACAAAUGCCAAAAUUACAUAUUCACAACCAAUUCAUUUCUCAUUUAUUCGGCUAGCAAAUUAGCCUCAAAAUUCAUACCAAUUCCACCAUUCAAUAUUAAGCUAAACAUAAUAUUUCAUAACCUAAUACAAACAUCAACAUGUCAUUUAUAACUAUAUAUAUAACCAACGAAACGAACCUAAAACAUAGUUAUUAUUCACCAUAUAGAAUCGUACCUAAAUAACCAAUAUACAAUCAAUAUAUAUAUUCAUCAUAUAACCUAUAAGAACAUAAAAGAAUACAUCCAUCAUUUACCUCAUUACUUAAACCAAAUUAUAUGACCAUCCACCGCAUAAGAUAUACCAUAUCAAAUACUUCCAAAAUGAGAUAAUUACAUGGCCUAAUAUACACAAGCAUUAGCAUCAUUAUCAAGCCAUUUUCUCAUGGCUAUAUAUAUACACAGAUCAAAAUGAACCAUAUCGAAACUAGCCUAUACAUGCCAUAUUUACACAACUUCCAUGAGUUCAAAAGUACCGAGAAAUCGACUGGAUAGUGUGAUGCUUAUCUCCGACGUCGACCGAAUCGAGCUAGCUAACGAACCUCUAUAAAAUACAAAGAAAUAAAUUAAGUAAGCAUUAAAGCUUAGUAAGCCCGUAUAAUAGAAUUAAACUUACCUUAAAGCUUAGUAAGCUCGUAUAAUAGAAUUAAACUUACCACAAUACAUAAUUUAAGCAAUUAAAUCAAUAUGUCCAUCUCGAAUAUUCAAAUGCCUAUCACACAUACAUCUCAAUAGGUUAGAGUCUUAAAUAUGCAUAUAACCAACAUUUUAUCCAUGAAUGAUUCAAUUUGGCAUUCAACUCACAUAGCAUUUCAUUCAUAUAUUUCAUAAAAUCUUUCCAGUAACAUACGUUCUCAUAACACAUAUCAUAUUCCAUCUAUACAAUUCACUUAGAUCAUAUUCCAUUUCAUUUUCAAUCAUAUAAUCGGUAACAGUAUAAUCCCAUUGAACCUAAUAAAACAUCGAAGGAUACUCAGGUGAUACACACUAUGUGCAUUAAUUGGUAAUUCAUCAAUUCAUUAUCAUUUUCGCUUUUUCGAGCCAUGAUCGGUAAGCUCAUUCCAAGCUGAAGAAUGGUAAGCUCUAUCGAGCUGAAACGGUAGCUCAUAAGAGCUGAUAUAUCGGUAAGCUCAUAUGAGCUGUGGUGAGUUCGCAAAAAAUGCAGGAGCUCGACCAAAAUGGUAACCCUAGUGACAUGUCACUCGUAUCCUACAAUUUUCUAUAGUUCAAACGGGGCUCGGUAUUACUCUAUACAUUUCAAAUUAAGCAAUUCAAUAUCGUUUAUUUCAACCAUUCAAUUCACACACACACACACAUAUAUAUAUAUACCUAAUCAUUUCAUACAAUUGCAAUUAAAUGAAAAUUUGAUUCUAAUUAUACGAACUUACCUAAAGUUGCUUAGAUGGAAAUUAUAGACUAUUCGUUCGCCAUUCAUUUUCCCCGAUCUAAUCUCAAUCUCGACUUAUCUUGAUCUAUAUAUCAUCAAAAUCAGCUUAUUUAAUCAACUAUUUAUUGAAUUUAGUCCAAAACACACAUUAGGGCUAUUUUACACAUUUGCCUCUAAACUUUUACAAUUUUACAAUUUAGUCCCUAUUUCAAAACAACACAAAAUACACAUAAUUUCAUUAAACCCAUGCUUGGCCGAAUUCAAUACAUGUUACUAGUAGCCCAUAUUUUCAAUUUAUUCACAUUUUUAACUACCACAUUUCACAUUUUAUCAAUUUAAUCCCUUUUUGACAUUUUUGUCAAAAAUCACUUUGCAAAACUUGUAUAUCUAACAUUAAACCUUCAUAAUAUAUCAUUAAACACUUAAACAACCAAGAAUUCAACAAUGGCAUCAUUUGAAAUCUAUAACAAUUUCAAAAAUGAAGGUAUGGGCUAGCUAGUACUAGUUUCAACGAUCACAAAAACAUAGAAAUUAUCAAAAACGAGACAAAAAUCACUUAGCUAUUGACAAAACAGGGUUGGUCAAACCUAGAUCAACAAUGGCUUCCUUUUUCUCUUUUAAUUUCGGUUGAUGAUGAUGAAUAAAAGAUGAAGACUUGUCUUAUUUCAUUUGUUUUUAUCAUUAUUUACAAAAAUUACUUAAAUAGCAUUUAAAAACAUCACUAAUUACACAAAUGCCAAGCCAUCACAUUCCACUAUCUUCAUUAGUGGUCUAAUUACCAUGUAAGGACUCUUACUUUAAGGUUCUAUAGCUAUUUAAUACUUUUAACUACUAGAACUCAACUUUUGCACUUUACGCGAUUUAGUCCUUUUUAUCAAAUUGAGCAUGUAAACGAUAAAAUUUCUUCACGAAAUUUUACCUAAUAAUUCUAUCAUGCUGUAAAAUUUAAUAUAAUAAUAAAAUUAAUAUUUUAACUUCAGAUUUGUGGUCCUGAAAGCAUUGUUCUGAUUUGACCCAAAAACGGGUUGUUACAAUAUACAUAUGUUUUGAGACGUAUUUGGCGAAAUUAUGAAAUAAAAAGAAAAUGAAGGGUUUGAACUUUGAACCUUAAGAUAGAUGUUCUAACUCUUUAACCAUUAAACCUCAAGCUUAUUUCUUGUUUAAUUUUAUUUCUUAACUGUAUAUAUUUAUUUUAGGCUGUGACUUUCCCUAGUUUACUGAAAAUAAUAAAAUAGGAGGAAAGAAGCUUAAACUUGAGUCUCUGGGAAGGACUCUCUAAUACUUAACCAUUAGGCCUGAAGCCUAUUUUUUGUCUAAUUUUUAUUCCUGACAAUAUAUAUCUAAGUGGUGGCCUUAUAAACAUGUUCAUUUUUCACAUUAUGAUUUCCUUGAACUUAAGUAAUAAAUUUAAAAUAUUUAUCAAUAAUUUUCUAGUAAUAUCCCAAAAGGCUUGUUAUGACCUCACGUUUAACCUAAUUUCGUGACCCCACAUAUGUUCCUACGUUUUUUUUGUUCACAUUUCAACAAUUUAACGAAUUAUCCCCCAAAUUUGUGUUGGUGACAUAUUUACACAUUUCUACUUUAAUAUCCCAUUUAAUGACUCCUUCAUGUACACCAAAAUUAUUCUUAUUAGUAAUUUUAUAGCAACCAAAAUAUACAUAAUAAAUUAUUAGUUAAUAAGGCAUUUUCAUAACCAAUCAUUUUCACCUAAAGUUUGUCAAUGACUUAUUUCAACACCUUUUAAACAUUAAGUUUACACAUAUUUAUUUCACAAUAAACCUCAUAUUUAUUCAUCAUUUUCAUAUUUAUCUCACUAAUUCAUUAUUUCAACAUCUUAAUCCAUGAAAAUUUCCUUACAUUCAUGCAGAUGCUUUUUUCAUAUUAAUGUAGCAAUUUUUUUUAUUAAUCCUCUAAAUAUGUUAGAGUAGGAGAAAUGGUAUCUAAGGAUACUUUAACUAUUUCUUAAUUACUAGACCAAUAACUUUUUUAUUUAACAAAGGCACGAUAGUAACCUUAUAAAUCGGGGCAUGACCACUCUCAGUUAUCACAAACCUAAUUCUUCUAACCUAUUUUUUGGGUGUGACAAAGUAAUUCCAUCACACAUACUUGAUUACAAUGACGACAACAAGCAUAGCUCUUUAUUUACUUUUAUCUCAAAAACACUCAAAGGGAAUUAUAGAAAUACAACACCAUGCAUGAAAUUAGAGAGAGAGUGGCAUUUGAAGCUGAAUAAGGGAUGACUGCACAUCGAUUUCAUCAAAACCAUUGAGCUCCAAGGAUUCCUUGUAGGUCAUCCCUCGGUAGGUUGGUGGGUGAGAGUCAUUGAUGAACCCUGGUGCUGAGGCUACAAAUGUGUCCAAUGAAGGUCCAUGAAGUGUUGCCAUUGAGAUUCUUUUCACUUCGUUGUUAUCCAAGAUCACUUGAUGUAUAUGACUCUUGUACUUCCCAUUGG
rnacentral:lncRNA from 1 species